UGGUUUGGUAUUCUGAGCGCGUCAAAUCCCAGGGCUCAACCCUGGACAGGCGGUGGAAACUACCAAGCAGGAGUACGGUAGGGGCAGAGGGAAUUUCCGGUGGAGCGGUGGAAUGCGUAGAGAUUGGAAGGAACACCAAGGGCGAAAGCACUCUGCUGGGCCGUCACUGACA
rnacentral:ncRNA from 1 species